UGUUACGUAAAUACAAUUUCAUGUCACAUGGCCAUACGUACGCCCGGUGUUUCGGGAAACCCAGCUGCAGGAGCGUUUGCAACGGUGUCAGAUGCUGUUUCGAAAUUUUCGUAGGAGUCGGAUUUUUCCGCGGCGGCAGCGUCGCCAUGACGGUACAUAACUGCGUUUACCGACGUUUAUUCCCCAGGGUGGCCAAUAGCCGCGCAACUAUCAUAGGACCAGAUACGAAUCGCAGACUGUGGAAAAUUUUUACAAAAUUAUAGCUGACUACAUCGCGACCGGAUCUCACCACGAAGAGUCAAUCAUCGGCAAAAAGCACAAAAACGAGAGGCUCACACAACAACUACUAUACUACUAUACUUUCGUCGUCGAGAAACUCCCGUGUCAUUCCCGAUCCUUGCUCAGAUCGGACGGCAGGUCACCGCAGGUGGACAACGCCGUCGUUGUCGCCGUCGUCGUUGUCGUCGUGGGCGACCUGGAGGUCAUUCUGGAGGUCACAGCGGCAAAGAGAGACAGAAGAGAGAAAGAGAGAGGAAGAGACAGAGAAACCUACCUCCGUCUUGAGAUAUUUGCACCGGUUGCCCGUUUUGUCCUAUGCCGAGCAAGACCCCUGGACUGGGCGAAUAAAUGACACUCUGAGGCAUCUGGUACAUGAUCCCUGCAGAGAACGAAGGCACAUUUCCUGGGAAAUCAAAGAGGAAUUGAGCGUGUGUGUGAGAGAAAGAAAAAGAACAGAUUGAUGAUGGAGGGUGAAAUUUAUCGCGAGGCAAAAAUCAUCAAAUUCAAGAAAUAUAUGUUUUUCAUCGCGAGAUAAAUGCUUCUCCAAAGGACAAUUAGUGCGUCGAAUAGAACCUAAUGAAUUUAUCACGAGGAAGAAGUAAUCAAAAUUCAAGAAAGCGCGAGAUAAAUGCUUCCCCAGAGGACAAUUAGUGCGUCGAAUAGAACCUAAUGGGGAAUAAAGGAAUGUAAGAUGUUGGUUACAGAUGUUAUAUGCCAAGAAAAACUUAGGAAUGACGGUCGAGCCACUCGAGACUUCGAUCCGGACCACCCAGGUGCGAAUCUGCGCUCUGAUUCACCGAAUCUUCGCGUUUACAAAUUAUAAAUAAAUUACUGCAUAUACAUAUUUCUUGGAAAAAUACGGGUAGCCACGCAUGACGAUACUCACCCGAGUGAUUAUUCUUGAGAGGAUCCUUGGAGUCGCCGUCGCUGGUAUCUCCGUCGCUCUCAUUGGCGCAAAUGUCAGACCUGGGUGAUCCUUCUUCCUCCUGAAAUCAAAAAGAGCAUCCGGUCUGAUUUCAGGGUCACAUCUUUCUUAUACGCAGCGACAAAUCGAAGGAACGAGCAAAGAAACGAGGAGAGAGAAGAGCGUACUUAUCAAACGUACGUACUUAUGUACGUAUCUACCUACCUACCUACCUACCAACCUACCUACCUACCUACCUACCUACCUAGCGGACAGAGAGAGAUGCGCGAGCUCUUCUCGGCGCUCCUUAUAUGGCCACAUCUCUCUCGCAGACUCCACUCGCGGAGGAGAAGAGAUUCUCGCGACCCUCGGGCGGAAAAUUUUCUUCCCUUAGCAGAAAUCCGCGGCUUUCGCAGUAAUAUUCGUACGGCGUAUCCGAGAUACCUUCACUUAAUUUUUCAUCAGAAAUUAACUGCUAUAGAAGGAUAGCAUCUCCUUGCCUUACAAAAAUUGUGAAUCUUUUUAUAUUAUGUAUUGUGUAUUUAUAUUAAUUUCAUAUUAUAUUUUUCUUUCCGACAUUUUCAGUAACACGUACAUAAAGCUAUACAUACAUAAAGAGAGAUAGAAAGAAAGAGAGAGUUCGGAAAAGACGAGUUUCCUCAAUUAGGUAUAUUCCAUUGUUAAUGCAGUUUUCUCGAUUUAAACGGGGGCGCACGUUUCCCACCUCGCAAUUUAUGCCAAUUACCGUUUGAUUCGACAAAACGGUCGAGGAUAUACACACGCACGUGAGAAUUAUUAUCUGCGAAAGAGAGAGAGAGGUCUUGGAGAACGCGCGGUACCAAUUGGAAAGCUCGAAAAGCCGGAGCACGUUCGCUUCCGCUGACUCCCUUUCCUCCCUGUACGUGUAUACGUGUAGAGAAGGCGCGACAAAAAGCAACAUUCCUGACUCUUAAGUCGGACUCUAUAUAAGUGUCUGCCAUCGCGAACAUUGCCUGUAUAUGGCGACAACCGGGCUUUGACAAAGGUGACCGUAUAUGGAACUCCGCUUCCAUCUUUCCUGCGUGCGUGCGUGCGUACUCCUUUUCUCUCUUGUAUACACGUGAAGGUUUCUCCUCUCUCUCUCUCUCUCUCUCUUAUUUCUACCCCCUCUCGUCGCGAGAAACGAUACACCUGGAUGCGCGCCUUCUUCGUCUGCAACCCCGAUAAACGUCUCCGCAGCUCUGUUCUCGUGCCGUUAAAUCAUAAAUCGUGCCUCGACCCCGAACCGGCGAAAGCUCCACGCGUGCUUCCGGUCACCGGGGUUACGCCAGUGCUCGUUGGAAUUAAAAUUUUCCCUCGGAAAAUUAUCAUAAAUAUUCAUCGAUCUUCUUAACGAGCCAGGAUUUAAAUUUUCUUAUUAAAAUACUUGUCAAAUUUUUUUCUCUCCUUGGAGAACGAUUUCAGGCCAAAUAAGGGGCGUUUGAUGAAGGAAAAUAAAGAAAUUUUUUUAUAAAGUAUGUUUCGUUCUUAUAUAGGUAUAUACUCUGUCUUGAACUGCGUUUCUUACCCUUGGGUUUCUACUUCCGUUUUUUUGCUGGUUCACGCUUUCUUUAACAAAUGCGUCAGGUGUUCGACUUAAGUUUACUCUUGAAAAUCGUAGAAACAUCAAGAGAUGAGUAAUUUAAUUUUUCCCUACCCAGGGUGUCUACUCGAGUUUUAUAAAAAAAUUCCCAGACUUUUUUCAAAAUUUCAUUGUCAGAUAAAAAUUAGAGGGUUUUUAAUUCUUGCGUAUUUUUAUUGCGUUUUUUAAUCAUACGUUUACGAAAAAUAAAAAGCAACUUAAGUUUCAAAAAAUGAUGAAACGUCAGAUUUGA